rnacentral:lncRNA from 1 species
AGGCAAUCCACACAAUAUAAAUUCAUGCACUGAGCCUCUACUUAUCUCCUUGUUUACCUAUAGUGGCUCAACCGUCUCCAAACUAUCUUAUGGUGAUUUAACGGGUUAAUGAUAUAGAGGGUUAACCUAGGUUUCUCAUAUUUUACUCCAACAAUCCCAUUCAAUAACUUAACAUGAAAACAUGAGUGGCGUGCAAAAGAAUGUCAAGCAUUGCAUCAAUAAGUAUCAGCUAAUUAAAUCCUGUACUAUAUCCACAGUUCUAUUUUACACCUGUCCAAUAAUCACAUCAUAGCCGGCAAGGCUACCAAACCCACACAAGCAUGCAAAAGUAAAAUCAACACUCAUUCAUCACGCAUGCAUCAUGCAAGAAGGUAGUCAAUUUAAUGAUUGAUUGUGAAAAUGCAUAUUAACUACAUGCCGAAUAUUUGUUUGAAAAUUAUGCUACCAUC